rnacentral:rRNA from 1 species
AGAGUUUGAUCCUGGCUCAGGACGAACGCUGGCGGCGUGCCUAACACAUGCAAGUCGAACGAAGCUCUGCGAUACAAGACUUCGGUCAAGUUGAACGGAUGACUUAGUGGCGGACGGGUGAGUAACGCGUGAGGAACCUGCCUUUCAGUGGGGGACAACAGUUGGAAACGACUGCUAAUACCGCAUAAUGUAUUCUGACCGCAUGAUCGGAAUACCAAAGAUUUAUUGCUGAAAGAUGGCCUCGCGUCUGAUUAGAUAGUUGGUGAGGUAACGGCCCACCAAGUCGACGAUCAGUAGCCGGACUGAGAGGUUGAACGGCCACAUUGGGACUGAGAUACGGCCCAGACUCCUACGGGAGGCAGCAGUGGGGAAUAUUGGGCAAUGGGGGAAACCCUGACCCAGCAACGCCGCGUGAAGGAAGAAGGCUUUCGGGUUGUAAACUUCUUUUACCAGGGACGAAGGACGUGACGGUACCUGGAGAAAAAGCCACGGCUAACUACGUGCCAGCAGCCGCGGUAAUACGUAGGUGGCAAGCGUUGUCCGGAUUUACUGGGUGUAAAGGGCGUGUAGGCGGAGAAGCAAGUCAGAAGUGAAAUCCAUGGGCUUAACCCAUGAACUGCUUUUGAAACUGUUUCCCUUGAGUAUCGGAGAGGCAGGCGGAAUUCCUAGUGUAGCGGUGAAAUGCGUAGAUAUUAGGAGGAACACCAGUGGCGAAGGCGGCCUGCUGGACGACAACUGACGCUGAGGCGCGAAAGCGUGGGGAGCAAACAGGAUUAGAUACCCUGGUAGUCCACGCUGUAAACGAUGAAUACAUUCAUUGAUGAAUUCAUGCUUUAUUGGAUGAACGGAUUUUGGGAUGAGCAAAACUUCGAUUUAAUAUUGCAAAACUUGUGUUUUGUUCAUCCAUAUAAAUUAAGCGGUGAGGUGGUUAUUCAGUCUAAAAGUGCUUGGAAUCCUGCUGAGCUUUUAUUCUCAGUGUGCGCGCAGAAUCUAUGAUCUAACGCAAUUCUUCGCAACAGAAUGCCUUCUGUGCCCGCCACAAAUAAGAACGGACACAGAAGGCAUCUGUUGUUGUAUUACACUUUAUGUCGUUUAUAGACUUCGGAUAAGGCUCACGAAAGCAAGGCUUAGAAGCAGUAUCUUCAAGGCGUAAUUUUAUAUACUCCGGAUGAUCCAAAU